UACGUAGGGUGCGAGCGUUGUCCGGAAUUAUUGGGCGUAAAGAGCUUGUAGGUGGCUCGUUGCGUCGGGAGUGAAAACCUGCGGCUUAACCGCAGGCCUGCUUCCGAUACGGGCGAGCUAGAGUUCGGGCAGGGGAGACUGGAAUUCCUGGUGUAGCGGUGGAAUGCGCAGAUAUCAGGAGGAACACCGGUGGCGAAGGCGGGUCUCUGGGCCGAUACUGACACUGAGAAGCGAAAGCGUGGGGAGCGAACAGG
rnacentral:rRNA from 1 species